UUCUGGGAGAUAGUGAAGAACAGGGAAGACUGGCGUGCUGCAGUCCAUGGGGUCAGAGAGUCCGGCACAACUUAGCGACUGAACAACAAUUUAAAGUGAACAUUGUUGUUCUGUGUUUCAUUCAUAGCUGAAUCAUGCAGUACCUUUGCUGCUAAAUAGUGUGGUUGGUGUGCAGCAGUACAGGAUUCCCCAAGGAGCUUGUGAAAAUUUCACACUCGCUGGCCCCAGCCUGGAAUUCAGAUGCGUUUUGAAGAUUUAGCUUAUCUCCGGAAACACUCUCUAGUAUGCUAUGGUUAUUUUUGUUUUCCUUGGAGCUAAUUUUAUUUGCUUAGUUUUAUGAAUAUUUGAUGAAUUAUCAGUUGUCAAAAUGUCCUUUCAAAAAGCUUGUCCGUAUCAGGUAGAUGUUUUCUCUAAGGUUGAUCUGCUUCCCUGGAGAGAAGGCUGACAAGCUCCCAGGAUAAAGAUCUGGGCGCCUAGUGGGAGAAUGCAGAGUGGGCAAAUGGGUCUCAGCAUUUGGUCACUCAGUCAUGCUUUUAAUGCAACUUCCCUCCCUUAACUCUGCCCGUGCCCCCUCUCCAAGGAUCCCCCACUCUUUCCAGAGGAUAAACCUCCAGUCUACAUGGUUGUGAAUAAGGUAGUUCUUCAUUAAAUCCUCCUCUUUUUUUAGUUCCCUCCCAACAUUAAGAUACUCUUUGCAGUUAUUUUUAUAUUGGUGGUAAUGAUAACAAAAUUUCUGUACCCAAAGAGAGACUAGGUGGGGUAGGCAGAAUAUGCUGUUCUCCUGACCAUCAUCCAUCCUCGCAAAAAAAAAAACAGUAAAUAUAUUGCUUUCAUGGCAAAAAGCUUUGCAUGUGAGAUUAAGAAUCUUGAGCUGGAGAGAGUAUCCUGGGUUAUCCAGGUGGGCCCAGUGUAAUCACAGACAAGCUUAUAAAAGGGAAGCAGGGCUCAGUGUACUAGCGGGCCACAAAUGCGGAUACAGGCAGAGUGUGGAAGCUGAAAGCAAGAAAAUGGGUUCUCCUGUAUCUCCAGAAAUAAUGCAGCCCUGCCCACCUCUUUGGUGUAAGCACCAUCAUGGUGGGUCAUGUGACUUUUUACAAGCUCAAAAAGGAAUGUUGUCUUUUAAAGAGGUGUCUUCGUGCUGAGAGAAUGUUGCUGGUUAUGGUUUUGUAAGAAAAUAAGAAACAUCUGGAGCAUCUAGCCUAGCAGGGGCUCUGUCCCUGUCCCAAGAAUACUGUGUCUUCUACCAACAUCCAUGAGACAGAAGCAGGCUGCCUAUUAGAGUUUUAAGUCAGGUAAA